UAAACAUCAACCAACCCUUCAAUUCUAUUGAACUAUUUUAUAUAUAUAUAAAAACUAUUAUGCUAGAACUAGUAAUAAGAAAUUGACUUUCUCCUAAAUGUAAACUUAACCCAAAUAGGACCCCCCAUUGGAAAUUAACGUAAAUAAAAUUAUAGCACACUUGACUAGAAAACCCUAUAAUAAUUAACGUUCAUCUGACACUAGAACAUUAAAGGAAAGAUUAAAAGAGGGAGAAGGAACUCGGCAAAUAUUAGCCCCGCCUGUUUACCAAAAACAUCGCCUCCUGCUAACAUAUAGGAGGUCCAGCCUGCCCAGUGACAUAGUUUAACGGCCGCGGUACCCUAACCGUGCGAAGGUAGCAUAAUCACUUGUUCUUUAAAUAGGGACUUGUAUCAACGGCAUCACGAGGGCUUCACUGUCUCCUCCCUUAAAUCAGUGAAACUGAUCUCCCCGUGAAGAAGCGGGGAUAUAACUAUAAGACGAGAAGACCCCAUNGGAGCUUUAAACUCAAUACACACCCACAGAUAUCUAAAUCAAUUUAGUCUAAAAAAUUGUGUGCUAGUUUUGGGCUGGGGGGGCCGCGGAGUAUAACCUAACCUCCACGACAAACAGGUUAAUACCUUUAUCCACGAGCUACGCCUCUAAGAAUUAAUAAACUAAUGUUCCAUGACCCAUUUUAUGAUCAACGAACCAAGUUACCCUGGGGAUAACAGCGCAAUCUACUUCGAGAGCUCAUAUCGACAAGUAGGUUUACGACCUCGAUGUUGGAUCAGGAAAUCCUAGUGGUGCAGCCGCUUA
rnacentral:rRNA from 1 species